AACAAGCGCUAUUAUUUAACGCCCCUAGCUAGGCAUAUUGCAAUAGAUCUAGGAGGAUGGGGUAUUGAUGAAGAUGUGAACCAUCGAAUCAAAGCCGGAUGGAUGAAGUGGCGCCAAGCUUUUGGCAUUCUCUGUGAUAAGAGAGUGCCACAAAAGCUGAAAGGCAAGUUCUAUAGGACGGCGAUUCGACCCGCAAUGUUGUAUGGCGCUGAGUGUUGGCCGACUAAAAGGCGACAUGUUCAACAGUUAGGUGUGGCGGAGAUGCGUAUGUUGAGAUGGAUGUGUGGCCACACGAGGAAGGAUCGAGUCCGGAAUGAUGAUAUACGAGAUAGAGUUGGGGUAGCACCAAGUGAAGAGAAGCUUGUCCAACAUCGUCUAAGAUGGUUUGGGCAUAUUCAGUGCAGGCCUCCAGAAGCUCCAGUGCAUAGCGGAUGGCUGAAGCAUGCGGAGAAUGUCAAGAGAGGGCGGGGUAGACCGAAUUUGACA
rnacentral:rRNA from 1 species